CCUACGGGUGGCAGCAGUGAGGAAUAUUGGUCAAUGGACGAGAGUCUGAACCAGCCAAGUAGCGUGAAGGAUGACUGCCCUAUGGGUUGUAAACUUCUUUUAUAAAGGAAUAAAACGAGCCACGUGUGCUUUUUUGCAUGUACUUCAUGAAUAAGGACCGGCUAAAUCCGUGCCAGCAGCCGCGGUAAUACGGAAGGUCCGGGCGUUAUCCGGAUUUAUUGGGGUUAAAGGGAGCGUAGGUGGGAUGGUAAGCCGGUUGUGAAAGUCUGCGGCUCAACCGUAAAACUGCGAUUGAUACUGGCAGUCUUGAGUGAAGUUGAGGUAGGCGGAAUUCGUGGUGUAGCGGUGAAAUGCUUAGAUAUCACGAAGAACCCCGAUUGCGAAGGCAGCCUACGAAACUGUGACUGACAUUGAGGCUCGAAAGCGUGGGUAUCAAACAGGAUUAGAUACCCGAGUAGUC
rnacentral:rRNA from 1 species